rnacentral:rRNA from 1 species
UACGUAGGGGGCAAGCGUUGUCCGGAUUUAUUGGGCGUAAAGCGCACGUAGGCGGCUCUGUAAGUCGGAUGUGAAAUCCCUCGGCUCAACCAAGGAAGUGCAUUCGAAACUGCGGAGCUUGAGUAGUUAAGAGGAUCGCGGAAUUCCCGGUGUAGAGGUGAAAUUCGUAGAUAUCGGGAGGAACACCAGUGGCGAAGGCGGCGAUCUGGGAACAUACUGACGCUGAGGUGCGAAAGCGUGGGGAGCAAACAGG